rnacentral:misc_RNA from 1 species
ACGAGGUAUUCAUACCCCAAACCACGCGAACAUACCUGAACUGUUGCUUCGGCGGGCGGCCCCUGGGAGGGGCCUGUGUCUUCGUGGCGCCCGCCGCAAGCCCUGGGGGCUCUCUAUUUACUCUCUUUAGUGGACAAUCUGAGUGGCGAGGAAAUGAAUCA